AUCUUCUGUGUGCCCCACAGACCGGUCAUCAAAGAAGACGUCCUUGUCGGGGCCAGAGAAAUUUCUGCCAUAUUCCAUGUUGAUGACGAAGAGCCCGUGCUUUGCCUUCCUCCCUGUGAGUGUCUCCAGCUGGGCCAGCAUCUGUAUGGGGAACUCCUCCAGGUACUCAAAGGCCGUGGAAUUCCUGGGAGAACAGCAACGCGGGGGAGGCCCUCAGUGCUGUGGCAGAGGAACUGUCCAUCCUCUGGGAUCUGCUGCUUAUCACUAAAUUGACUCUGACGAUGGUGGCCGGCAAGGCCCUGGCCUGAGGGAGCUCUGAGAUCCACGUGGCUGCCUCUGACUACUGCUCAUCCACGUGAUGCCAAACACUUUCCACAAGUGACCUUUACUCCUUCCUUUACUGCUGCAAGAACAGGCAUGUUCCCCACAGCAGCCUUCAUCUUAGGAAAGAACUGGGCACCUCACACCUGGAAUAGGAAGAGAAGCGCUAUGCAGCACGUCGGGAAAGCUGGGCCGAGGGGAGUAGGGUGGGGACGGGCUACUCACUCCUUCAAC